UUUUUUUUUUUUUUUUUUUGGUUUUUAGAAUGGCAAUGAGCUCCUGUAAUAUAUUACUAUAUCCAAAAUAUUGUCUAGAAUAAUCUCAAGUUAAGGAAGUGAACACCUGUCUGCAAAAUUAUACUCUAUAAUUAAUGAUGCAGUAGUGUAUGGUUACCAUACAAAGACUUCGUUGACUUGACUCUGCAGAAUGAUCAUCAUGUAUUCUCUUCAUACUGCUUUCUAAGGACUACUAAGGAGAGGGGGCAGGCUUUGUUAGUUAUGUCUACGAUUAUAUUAUAUAGUCAAACACCACGUCAGUUACAUAUUCUACUGCAAACGCGUUUUCCAUUCUUUUUCUUAACUCUGGCUAGUGGCGACUGAGCCUGAGGGCUACCUAACUCGUGGCGGAUUCUUCUUUUUUUUUUUCAUAUUUUUCAGGCUCUCAAUCUUUCAUUGGCGUGAAUUAUGGACAAGUCGCCGACAACUUGCCCCCGCCCGCUGCCACCGCGAAGCUACUCCAGUCCACUAGCAUUGAGAAGGUCAGACUGUACGGAGCCGAUCCAGCUAUCAUCAGAGCCUUGGCCGAUACCGGCAUCGGCAUUGUUAUUGGCGCAGCCAACGGAGACAUUCCCGCGCUUGCCUCCGACCCUAAUUUCGCGGGACAAUGGGUCGCCACCAACGUCUUGCCUUAUUACCCAGCUAGCAAAAUUCUCGUCAUCACCGUCGGUAAUGAGGUCAUGACCGCCACCGACCAAAACCUUAUUUCUCAACUCUUACCGGCGAUGCAAAAUGUCCAAAACGCCCUCAAUGCUGGUCGCUCCUCUUCAGCUACUCCCAAUACUUUUCACUCUCGUCUUCUUCAGUAUUGCUUUCUUAUUUUUGAAAAAAAAAAUUUUGAUAAGAAAACGGAUUGAUAACAAAAAAAAAUUAUUUGAAUCUGCAGCUUCGCUUGGUGGGAAAAUUAAGGUGUCGACGGUUCAUUCAAUGGCCGUGUUGACUCAGUCCGACCCGCCAUCAUCCGGAACAUUUAACCCGGGUUUCGGGGGCACAAUGAAAGCGUUAUUGCAAUUUCAUCAAGCCAACGGUUCCCCUUUUAUGAUAAACCCGUAUCCGUAUUUUGCAUACCAGAGUGAUCCACGGGCCGAGACGUUGGCUUUCUGUCUCUUCCAACCCAAUGCUGGACGAGUCGACUCAGGAACGGGUAUUAAGUACAUGAACAUGUUUGAUGCUCAGGUUAGUUAUAAUUACCUGGUCCCACUUACAGCCUGGACGCAUUGAAGUUAGUGUCCUAAUUUGUCUUGCAUGACCUUUUUUUUUUUGGCCUUUUUGUUUUUCCCCUGCGCAAAAUCGAUGUCGGCGGCUGUUACUUCAACUGCAAGUAGUGAUACUGCCAGUUAAUAUACGUUAAUUUUUUUUUUUUUGAAGGAAGUAUACGUUAAGUUAAUUACAAGCUCCUCUUGGACUGGUAGUUUGUCACUUAAUUUUCGAUGAGUUUCAGGUGGAAAAUAUCUUCAAAAUUAAUUGAGAUCCCAAAUGGAAUAUCUUAUUUACUUGGGACCAUUGUCGCAUUUUUCUUAUCGUAGUAAUUUUAUUUACCUAAUAAGAGUCAAGUGGCAGCAGCAGCAGCAGAUGGACUACAUGAUUUUGAGUGUUAGCAUAUUGGUUCAUGUUAAGUUGAAGGGGCAUCUGGAUGGUGGGUGGGUCAUCGAUAUUUUUGUACCGAAAGUUUGCCUCUAUUUCAAGCUGAGCAUCAUUUCUAUGCAGUAAGGUAACAAAAAAUUGACUAUACCUACUACUAAGACUGCAAUUGUCAUACAAUUUUCGAGCAUAUCCUUAUCCAGCAGCAACUGUAUGAUUACCGUGGCCUCUUAUGGUGGAAAUUGUCCUGCUUCAAAGCAUAUUGCCUGCCUGGAGCCCAACUUUCCAUAGAUGACAGGCUGGCAAUGCUAAUAAUUGUAGCGAACAGAAACCAGAGAAGCUUGUCCGGCAAUUGGGUUUUGUUUGAUCUGGACUAUAUGGGUGUAAAAUUUUCUCGUUAGAUUUCUUUGAACAAGGGACCACUAGUUGUGGACCUGAUAUUUCAUCACAAUUUAUGCUUUUUUUUAAAAAAAAAAAUUAUUUCAUUGUAGAUAACAAGGACCGCCAACGGGGAUUAUAAUUAUUCUCACUAACCAACUUACCUUCCCAAGUGCUUCGAGGGGUUAACAAAAUUUACCUUCCGUGUGCACUAAUGUAGGUGGAUGCAGUACAUUCUGCCCUCAAUGCAUUGGGAUUCAAGGAUGUCGAGAUUGUGGUUGCAGAGACAGGGUGGCCAUACAAGGGAGAUCCCACUGAAGUUGGCCCAAGUCUGGACAAUGCAAAAGCCUUCAACGGGAACUUGAUAAGCCACCUCAGAUCAUUGGUUGGCACUCCCCUGAUGCCUGGAAAGUCUGUUGACACCUAUAUAUUUGCCCUCUUUGAUGAGGAUUUGAAACCCGGGCCAAGCUCAGAACGGUCAUUUGGGCUCUUCAAGCCUGAUCUCUCUGUGACUUAUGAUGUUGAUCUUUCAAAGAACAGUCAGGUAAUCACCAUCGAUCGAUGCAGGACCUGUAGUAAUUUAAUUCACAAGUAAAUUCCUCAAAAUGUUUAGAGAGCCUUAAAUAGUUUAACGGAAUCAGCUGAUAGUCCAGUCUUAGCACGUGCAUUGCUGGUAGUUUUCAUACAUCAACAUAAGUUCGGUAACCGCUGAUGUGGUCUCGCCUGAAUAUAGCAGCAACGCUUAAGAGAAAUUGGUUUGAUUUUCAUAAAUCUUUCUAGUAAAUAGAUAGAUAUUUGCAACCAGGGAAUACCUUGAACUUCAUCAAAGUUAUGUUGGAAUUUAUAGCUCAUGUUACGAUCUGGGUUGCAUUUGCUAACUAAUAACAUCGUGGCCAAUCUUCCUCCCAGACUCCUACAACUCCAGCAACUCCGGCAACUCCUGCCCCUGUGAGUCCCACAACUCCCAUAACCCCAGUUACACCAGUACCAAAGCCAGCAGCUGGUUGGUGUGUGCCCAAACCGGGUGUUUCUGAUGCUCAAUUGCAGUCAAAUCUUGACUAUGCCUGUGCCCAAGGUAUUGAUUGUAGUCCAAUUCAAACUGGUGGAACAUGUUUUGACCCAAAUACUGUGGCAGCACAUGCUGCCUAUGCAAUGAAUCUCCUCUAUCAAACUGCUGGCAGGAAUCCUUGGAACUGCGAUUUCCUGCAGACCGCCACUCUUACUUAUACUAAUCCAAGUAAGACCAUUCAUUUCUUCAGGUUAAACUUGUUCGGUUUCAUGUCAAUACAUAAGAACCGGUUUUUUUGUCAAUGUGGUAUCUUUACCUUGUGAAUGGGAUUGGUUUUUGUGUUUUGGGGGGGGGGGGGGGGGGGGGAGGGGGAGGGGUUGUGGGAUAAAUUUGCGUUGUAUAUGCCCUGCCAGUUCUGUGAGUGCAACAGGUGGCAGAAUAUUUUUCCGCACUAGUGUUACUAGAAUUCCAUUCAGCAUUAUUCGACGGUCAAAAUUUACACGAGCAUUGCAUCGGACUGUCUUUUCCUUUUACCUCCUAGGCAAAUAUUGAUGGUAACAAUUUUCUCGUUUCUUGCGCUCCGAAAUUUUCCGCUCUUGCAGGCUAUGGUCAGUGCAGUUAUCCUGGUGGCAAUACAUGAAGAGAAAGGGGAUAUUAUUUGGAUAGCUGAGGUAAUAAUAAGCUUGAGUGUCAUUGGCCAGCAGAAGUAAUCAUUUCAUGAUAUAUAGCUAAACAAUCGUCAAGUUGUGAAUUUCAUUCUAUUGAAGGAAAGGGCAGGGCAGAAAAUAAGCCUUUUUGUCUGUUCUAUUUUAUUUGGCUUUCAUUUCUGUGGCUUGUUUUCUCCUCCGCUCACCCCAGUCAACCUACCUUGGCGCCCCCGCUCCCUUCCAAACAAAGCCCCCCCCCCCCCCCCCCAAAAAAAAAAAGGGAAAAUCAAUUAAGAAACACAUUAGUACUACAAGUCUGCAAGAGGUCAAAUGGAAAUAUUAAAACGUUUAAGAUUCAGAAAUGCUUGUGAAUUGUAUGCGGCCUAAUUUUCAAAAAGUUUAGUUGGUCUCAUUUUCUUCUAUAUGCGAUCAGCAUUAAAUAAAUCACUCUUGAAACCGAGAUUAUUCACAUUUAUUUGUAAUGUUUAAGGUGCUCUAAAAGCUUAAACAAUUACUGUAUGAAUUCGCUUCCCGACAGUUGUUUGCUUAAGCCCAACUGGCAAAUUAGACUAAAAAACAAUUAAAGAUAUAAGUUGAUGCCACGUGGCAAUAUUUGAGUAGAUUGUAAAUUGAUUGUUUUUUUUUUCCUCUGUAUCUCCCUGAGAAAACUAAUACGUACCUACCAUUAAGAGGGAAAAAAAACACCCAUUAAGAGGAAAACUUUGGGAUCUAUUAUUUGAUGUUUCUAUUUCGUCUUUGGACGAUUAUCGCAUCAUACUCCUACCUCGUCCAAGUGACGUAACAUGAUGAGAAAAUUUUGAGCAUAACACCAUGUGCCUUUAAAUAUGGUUGUUAUGUGUUGGUGAUCCAGUGGUUGAGAGGAGGAAGCGACCCCCAUAGGGGCCAGUGUUUUUAAAGGAUAAAAACAAUUUCAAUUCAACGCGUUUGGUGGGUAUGAUUCCUUGGGCAUUUUCCUCUUUUUUCUGUAUCAUUUAAUUCGCUUAGUCGUAAUGUGUUUUAUAUUUUUUUCUUGACCAUACAUUUUGCUAGUCUAAGUGUUUUUUCCCCUUAAUAAGCCACAACUUGAGGUAUUGUAUGGAAUGUUUGUUUGGAUUGGAUUUUAUUUCCCCAAAUUUAUUUGCUUACAUCAUCAUUACAAUUUCCAAUACACCUUUUUACCUUCCCAAUUACCUUUUUAUCUCACAUACAUCACAUCACAAAAAGUGUUACAGUAAAAAUAUCUCUAAUAAUUCACAAUCCAAACAGACUUGUGGAUUAACCUGAGUCCAUCGAUUGGUCUGAUUGUGGAGGGACUCGGGAGUCAUCUCAUUCUCCUAAGGUUUUUGUUUGGGUUGGGUACCCUUUCUUUUUCAAUCAAUUCCAGCAUUAAUGACCAAAUGCGGAGAGUUUUUUUUUUUUUUUGGGGUCAACAAAUGCGGAGAGCACGACAACGCGAAAUCUUAACCCAUUCUAGUUGAAUUUAUUCCAAUUAGAGUGUCUAAUCUUGAACAUAGAACACUACUAUGCUUCAUGAGAGUUUAUCAGAAAAUCAUUAAAACGAUUGAAAGUAUGGACUCAAAUGCAUCAACUCGUGGAAUGCUUGUGAACGAUAUUCUUGUAGACAUACAAAGUUUUGCAACCCGAGAAGCAUCAUGGGUGCCUAGAACAAUUAAUGUUGCUUUAUUGUUUUUGCUAAAUAUGCUUGUUCCAUUUCUGAUGAUUGUUUAUGGAGGAACUUUCCUCUAGAUUUUAUUAUUAUAACACUUACUGCAGAUAUUAUUUCAAAUUGAUGAAAUUACUCUUUUUUCAUAUAAAUUUUUUUUUCUAUUAGCCCCGCAAGUACAUGUGAGAGAAGUGGGAUGGAGCAGGAACGAGCGAUGGACGACGAAAUGGUGGCGGGGAAUGUUUGGGCAACGGGCGGGGGAAAGGUCCCUCGCCUUCCCCCAUGCCCGCCCUUGCCCCGUUACUAUUUCUACUAAUAUAAACAAGUUCCAUAUAUUAUAUAUUCAUAAAGAAUAAUAAUAAAUGUUUUUGGAUGGGAGAUUAUUUGAAAGAAAUUUUUGAAAAAAUAUUAUAGUAUUUUUUCUAAUGUAAUGCAUGUGAAAUAAAAAAAUAAUUAAAAAUAAAAAUUUAUUAAAAAAAUAUAUUUAUGAUACAGUUAAAUAAAUUUGGGAAAAUCGUUCAAAACGUCCCUCACAUUUUGCAAAAUAACUUUUUUCAUCUCUCACUUUUAAAAAUGUAAUUUUACAUCCCUUACAAAUUCAUAUUGGUCAAAUUUGAUCCCUACUUAGAUUUUCGACUAGUUUUUGGUCGGAAUUCACCACGUGUCUUGCACGUGAUCAUAUUUUAAGGGUAAAAUUGUCAAAUUAAAUUUUAUAUAAUUCGAUUCAUAAUCCUUCACAUUUCAUAAAAUAAAUUUUUUCUUCCCUUACAUAUCACAAAAUAAAUUUUUUCAUCCUUCACAUUUUUCAAAAUGAAUUUUUUCAUCUUUUAAUUGAUCAUGUGUGUGAAUAAUUUUUUUUAAAUCUAUGUAUAUAUCUAUUUGAUUUUACGUGAACAGUAUGAAUAGCAUGUGAAAUCAAAUAGAGAUAUAUUACAUACUAUUCAUACUGCUCUAGUGAAAUCAAAUAGAUAUAUAAAUGGGUUAAAAAAAUUGUUAGUUUUUCACUUAUAUUCAUUUUUUUUACUCGAAAUUUGAAAAUAAAGAAAAUAUUUAAUCCUAAAUAUUAUCAAGUGUUUAUAUCGAAUUAAAUUUGGACAAAAAAAUAAAUAAAAGAAAAUUAUGACAAAAAGAAAUAAGUGAUUGGCAUUUUCAAAUUGUAAAAUAAUCACAAGGGAUGUAAAAUUACAUUUUUAAAAGUGAGGGACGAAAAAAGUCAUCAUGUAAAAUGUGAGGGACGUUUUGAACGAUUUUCCCAAUAAAUUUUUAUAAAUAAUUAAAUUACCCAAACAGAUUCAAUGGCCGUGAAGUGGUCGUGUGUAAAUAAACUACGUGUGAUUUUUGCUCUAAAGUCUCAACUCUCAAGUCUCUCUCAAAUGUGGAAAGUGGUAGAAUGGUGUCAGAACUCAGAAACUCACUACUAUUUCCGAGUGUGAGAGGUGUGAAUGUACGACUGCGACGCACCCAAGCCCUUAUCAAGGAAACAGACGGCCAAGCCACUGUGGCUGGGUGGGUGGGAUGGAUCAUCAUCCCAGUACCUAUGUCUACGUGGUAGGGACAGGCUACCGCCACGUCGGCAGAUGCGGACCCCGCGGCUUCAGGCCAAUGGCCCCCCCAACCACCAGUACCUCCAGUUCCACCAUCACACCUCUGACUUUUCACUGAUUGUUAGUACUAUUAUUUUAUUACUCGAAAAGAAAGCAUAAACGGGUGGGCCUAACAUCUGAACAACGGCUAGCCCUGAACCGGUGACUGGUGAUCUGAAUAGUGAAUACCCCACUACUACAAAAGCCCCACUCUUUGGCACUAUUAGUCUCAAAAAAAUUUGGCAUUUGGGUCUCUAACCCGGAGUCUCCGUUUCAGCUGUCACCCGUAACCGGUAACAGUCGGCCGUGGCUGUCUCUACUCCGUGCGUCUCCGCCGCUAUAUCUCUCCUACUCCUGUAUUAUCAAAAUUCUUUAGCUCCUAAAACCCUUAAUUUUUAUUAGUAAUUACCCAGAAGACCAAAUUUAAGGAAGAGUUUUCUUGAUUUGUCCUGAUUAUAUACGUGUAGCAACCUUAGAAUGAAGCCCACUUGACCCAAGAGAAUUAGGCUAUGGAAGAUGUAGGAGGAGUCCAGAGGACUUGAAUUUGUGUCGAGUUUGGGGAGGAAAAGGGGAGGGAAAAAUGUCAGUUGCCGAGCUGAAGGAGAGGCACUUAGCCGCCACCCAGACUGUCAGUGCACUCAGGGACCAAUUGAAACAGAAGCGUCUUCUCCUUCUUGACACCGACGGUUGGUUCGCCUUCAUUCUUUUGUUUUUUUUUUUUGCUAUAUAUUUACUUGUUUGAAUUGUGGUGUUUAUCAAGGUAUAUGUCUUAGAUCUGGAAGAUGCUAAAUUUUUGUGUGGAAUUAUAUUAAUUACUAUUAAUUAUGGCUGUUGCAGUGGCGGGAUACUCUAGGUCGCAGGGUAGAACUCCGGUGAGCUUCGGCCCAACGGAUCUGGUUUGCUGUCGGACUCUGCAGGGCCAUAACGGCAAGGUUUUUCACUUGUCAUUCUCGUUUCCUCUUGUCACCUUUUCAUUUCGCUGGAUUCACUUUACUUGAUUAUCUAUCCUUGGCCUUGUGAUAUACAUAAUAUGUUAUUUUAUUCUUCAACCUAGGAAUUUGACAUACAUUCGACUGAUUGCUAUUCAUUACGGUGCCUCAUAAAGGCUCCAAACAGUUAGCAAGCUUUUCGGAUUAAGUUCUAAAUCUGGAAUUCGGCUGGGCAGGCCGCUGGGAAACUGUAAUUUGGCUAACUAUUUUCAUCAGAAAGCUGAUUUUGAUUCUUCUAAUACCAUAUGAUGCUGCAAUUGCCUGAUUUUGAUACGAUUAGAGACAAAAUCAUUUGGUUCUCCUUUUCUUAUGCUGUUCAGUGAAUUUUAAUUACAUUUCUUACAUUCCUUGCUUAUGUUACAAUAAUGGAAUUGAAAAGAGAGCUAAAUGUACCUUGGCAGGUGUAACUCUUAGAGUCAUUUGGCUUUCAAGCCACAAACACCCGCCCCCCCCCCCCCGGGGCGAAGGGGUUUAACCUUCCUCUUCGAUUUCAAGUCCAAUGAUCAAUUUGAGAAUAGUAACUGGUAGCUGAGAAUUCAUAGAGAAACUAAGCAAACAAAACAGAACUUUUGCUGCUUGGGAAGCAUGGUGCCUUUGAACAUGCUGACUUAAUUUGGAUUUAGAUGAAAAUUUUGCAUUGGUGUGACACUGGUAUUUCAAGUUUCAUUUUCUAUUGUCUCUGUGAUGACUGACAUAAACAUGAUUUAGAUGAAAUUUAUGUAAUUGAAGUGACACUAGUAUUUCAAGUUUCACUUGCUGUUUCAUUUGUGAUUAAUUAUACUAUAUAAACAUGUUUCAGGUGUAUUCGCUUGACUGGACUCCAGAAAAGAAUCGCAUUGUCAGUGCAUCCCAGGAUGGUCGAUUAAUAGUAUGGAACGCUCUCACAAGCCAAAAGACACAUGCUAUUAAGCUACCCUGUGCAUGGGUCAUGACUUGUGCCUUCUCACCGACUGGGCAGUCUGUUGCCUGUGGUGGACUCGACAGCGUUUGCUCCAUCUUUAACCUAAAUUCUCCAACUGACAGAGAUGGUAAUCUACCAGUGUCGAAAAUGCUUAGUGGGCAUAAGGGCUAUGUGUCAUCAUGUCAGUAUGUUCCUGAUGAAGAUGCACACUUAAUCACUAGCUCUGGAGAUCAAACAUGUGGCUUGUGGGAUAUAACUACAGGUCUUAGGACAUCUGUCUUUGGAGGUGAAUUUCAAUCUGGUCACACUGCUGAUGUGCUAAGGUAUAUUCAGACGUUAAUUAUGUUUUCUGUAUCUUAUUAUCUUCUUCUGCAUGAAGCAUUUGAUGUAGCAAUAACGCAUUGUCUUGGAACCAUUCUUGCUCUCUUUUUUUUUUAGUGUCUCCAUUAAUGGAUCAAAUUCAAGAAUGUUUGUGUCUGGGUCUUGUGAUUCAACUGCCCGUCUUUGGGACACUCGGGUUGCCAGUCGGGCUGUCCGGACCUUUCAUGGUCAUGAAGGAGAUGUUAAUGCUGUAAAAUUUUUCCCAGAUGGAAAUAGAUUUGGAACUGGUUCGGAUGAUGGAACUUGCAGAUUAUUCGAUAUUAGGACUGGGCAUCAGCUGCAAGUGUACUAUCAGCAACAUGGGGAUAAUGAGGUGCCGCCUGUUACUUCAAUUGCAUUUUCAAUUUCUGGCAGACUUCUUUUUGCUGGGUAUUCAAAUGGUGAUUGCUAUGUAUGGGAUACCUUAUUGGGACAGGUACUUGGUACUUUUACCUUUUUUACUAAUUAGCAUGCAUCCGUUUCAAAAUUGUCCAAUUUUUUGGGCUGAAACUUUCACUAAUCAAUUUUAACCCGUUUCAAAUAUUAAUCAGUUCCACUUUGAUAUUUUUCUUCCUUUCUCCCAUUAACCCAGUAUAGCGUGUUUUCUCCUUCUUACCCUUUCUCUAUUUUUUUAAUGCUAUUGCAUGACAAAUUUAUACGUGCAGUAACAUUAUUGUUUUGAAUUGUGAGGUGGUGUGUAGGAAGGAUAUACCUGCAGUUGCUUAAAAAUCCGAACUCGUGAGGUUAAAAAUGAGUUCAAGAAAAGGUCCGUUUUGGUCCCAACUCCCAAGUGAACACCUCACAUUCUGUACUGAGGCUAAAAUUAAAAAAAAAAAAACCAAUCUUUGAGAAGUAAACGAGCUAUUUCAUGACAUUCUUUUGAAAUAAUCUAGCAAAUUUUGCAAUUUGAUGCUCAUCCAUGAUUUUAAGUACCAAUUCUAUGUUCUCCCAGCUCAUUGCCUGACUUUUUGAAGUUGCCUUGUACUCUGUCUUGAUAGGUCGUUUUGAAUCUAGGAACUCUUCAAAAUUCUCAUGAGGGUCGCAUUAGUUGUUUGGGAUUGUCAGCUGAUGGCAGUGCUUUAUGUACAGGAAGUUGGGAUUCAAACUUGAAGGUUAGAGAAUUGAUUGGCAUGUUUGCACAAAAUUUCUAUACUCUCACUGUGUGCGUCCAUGUAUGUGUGCGUGUGUGAGCACAACAAUCAGCUCUUUUUAUUUACUUGUGCAAGGGUCAACUGCAAUUCUUAUCUUUCACUCCUAUUUCUUUCAGAUCUGGGCUUUUGGAGGGCAUAGAAAAGUGAUCUAAAGAUUCAACUUUUGAUUUCCCUAACGAAUAGGCUCCUGAUUCACCGUCCGUGUGUACGGUUCUUGUACACCAGUAAGCUACUGUGUGCCAGGGAUUAUAAUUUUGUCCUACAUUUAACCUUGUGCAUUGUGACUUGUGUAUUGCAGAAAUAAUACACAUAUAUGUAUAUUUUUUUUUAUGAAGGCCAAUUGUGAAUUCACCGAUUAUUUUGUCAUUAAGUGUCUCACCUGUGUCUGCAUUUGAAAGUCUACAAGCCAGCUUUAGUGAUGCUUACAGCAGGUUAUGGUUUCAAAAAAUAGGUAAAAAAAAAGGAGUUUAAAAAAAAGGAUUCUAUUCUAUACAAAUAGAAUGGAAAAAAGAGUUUAAAAAAAGAAAGUUAGUACCAUACGAUAGUUGCUUUACCAUGUAAUCAAUCAAUCCAAUCGUCUGAGGGGGAGAAUUUGCUAAAGUUGCCACGGUAAAAAAGAGCGAUGUUAGCUUUAACAAAUUAAAUUAAAUAGCGGGAGUUGAAGAACAAAAGAAACGUUUUUUUUUUUUGCUGCUGGACACAGAUGAAUUUUAUUAUACAUCUAUUUUUACUCUAUAUUUGGGGAAAGAGAAUCCAAAGAGGUUAAUGGGAGAAUUUGAAAGGGUUGAAUCACUACUGGUUCAAACGGAUGUCUACACACUCCUAGAAAAAUCUGAAUAUUUAAAAUGUAGAUCAAGGGAUUUGGUUUUAAAACUCUUUUAGUUGUCAGCUGCUUCCAAGAGCUGUUGGUUAAGAAAACAUGGGGUUUGUUUGGACAGUAGAUUAUUUGGUUAAAUAUAUUUGCUGACAUCACCAUUAUAAUUUUCAAUACAGUUUUUUAUCUUUUCAAUUAUCUUUUUAUCUCACACACAUCACAUUACAAAAAGUGCUACAGUAAUUAUUCCAAAUAAUACCCUAUUGAGGAAACCUCACCUCACAGUUAAGUCUAAUUUAACAGUAUUUGCAUUCUCAACUUUCUUGUUCAGUUUCAUUGGAAUCGUAAUAUUGAGGUGAACACAUCCGCUCCAAAUUUUGUACACACAUCUCUCAAUGAAGAAAAUCACCGAGUAUCGUCGAGUAAAUUGUGUAGAUUGCUGAAUAAAACGUACAUUUUGGUUUUCAGUCCAUGUGACUGAAUUUUUAUUUUUAUUUUUUAAAAAAAUUCCAUGUCAUACAACCUAACGUACUCUCCAUGUGACUGAAUUUUUGUGUUGGGACUUGGGGCAAACGGUAUCAUUAAGGACGCACUAAUUAUGGUUUCCACGGAUGAUAUGUUCUUCGUGGCCUGAAAAAAGAAAAGAAAAAAGAAAAAAAAGAUAAAGUACUCCAUCCUCUUUGUGAUAACGGCCACAGAUGUUUUGAGAGAAACAAAACAUGCUGCAGUCUGCUCCUCUUGCCCAGCCAAUCCGCUCCUUCUCUUCAGAGAAAAGCCCAAAUUGUAGGUCUCAAUCCCCAUCCUCAAAACCUCCCUUCCACUUCCUGAGGUUUCGGACAUCUUAUCGGGAUAAUCUACGGUACCUCAAUUCCAUCGGCAUCAUCAAUUCAGAUAAGAAGAUUCACCGAAACCCAUCCCCAGAAACCUUACUCCACAUCCUCUCCACUGUAAACUUCCUGAAAUCUAAAGGCUUUUCCGAAUCCCAUUUUGCUAGACUUGCUUAUCUCACUCCUCAGGUAUUUUCUCCUCAAGUUAACCCGGCUGAUUUGCAGCCCGUCUUUGAUUUCUUAACGACUGAGUUAGCUGCAUCAGAGGAAGAAUCCCGCGAUCUGAUUCUAUUAUGCCCUCACAUUCUUCAGUCCAAUGUUCAGUUUUGUCUGAGGCCUACCCUUUUGUAUCUUAGAGAUAUAGGUGUAGAAAGUUUGAACAAGCCCACUAAUUUAAAUGCUCAUCUUCUAAAUACCCGCGUUAAGAGAUUGGAAGACACGGCCAAGUUUUUGCUGGACAUCGGGUUCUCUCAAGAAGAGGCGACUAAAUUUUGUGGGAGGCUACCGGCCAUAUUUGGCUAUAGCAUCGACAACAAUUUGUUGCCCAAGUUUGAGUAUUUAGUCGGGGAGAUGGAAAGGAGUCUUGAUGAAUUAAAGGGGUUUCCUCAGUAUUUCGCUUUCAGCUUGGAAAAGCGGAUUAAGCCGAGGCAUCUGCAUCUGAAGAGAAGGAAUGUUGUGGUCAAGGAGGUUCCUUUGAAAAAAAUGUUGAUGUGGAAUGAUAAAAAAUUCUAUGCAAAAUGGAACUGGUGAGUUUCUGCCUUGAAUUUCUAUGAAUUGUCGCUAGUCCGGGGCUUCACUAUUUUAGACCAGCGAAGCACUAUAGAAUUUUUUUAUUUUUUUGGUCUAUUUAAGGUUUUGUUGUUGCACUGCUAUUGGCGGCCCGUGUCACAUGGAAGGAUGUCGGAAGCAUGGUAGGGAGUGUCCAAUUAAACGAGAGCAAAUUGUAUAAUGAAUCAUGAUUUUCGUCGAUUGUGCUGUAAAGUUGAAAUCAAGACCUAAAAAGAGUUAUAUGCUGCUAAGAGUUAUAUAACCGAUUUUAAGCCUUAGCAAAUCUAUAACCGAUUUCACAUCUCUGGAAAGAGUUAUAUGCUGCUAGAUCACCCAUCCGCCGUUUAUAUCACCCGGAACUUCACAGCUUCCUUGUGGCGACGUCAUUGUUAGGUGCGAAACGUCAAAAAGGAAUUAUCAAAGCCGAGAGGAUGCUGGAUUCAAUUGGUCCAUGACCACUUUUCUAUCUGCCUUCAGUGCACUCUUACCUCAAUCUUGCUCUUGACGCCACCUAUUUAAUUCGCGUAUUUACUGGUUAUCCACAUGGCAAAACGACGAAAGAAGAGGCUGAAAUUAAGCGUCAAUUAUACACAACAGGAAGGGAUCAUAUUUCGAUCUAUAGCCUAUUUCACCAUCUCCAAGAGUAUCCUGGUACUUAAUUCUCAUAUCUGCAUAUGCACGCCAAAGUGAAAGCCAUCCGGUCCCUAAAUUCAUAAAUGAAUACUACACAAGGCAAUUUGCCAAAUAUCAAAAUGGCAAUAGUGCAACGGAAAAGUAAGGCUAUUAAUUCAAAAUUCAUAUAUUGAAAUUGAUUCCACUCCUAAGACUCUUCCAAGCAAAAAGGAAACUAACUGUAGUGAUUGAUCGCAUCAGUAAGCUGUAUUCCCCUCCGUU
rnacentral:lncRNA from 1 species